rnacentral:rRNA from 1 species
UACGUAGGGUGCGAGCGUUGUCCGGAAUUACUGGGCGUAAAGGGCGCGUAGGCGGCCUACUAAGUCAGACGUGAAAUCCCCAGGCUUAACUUGGGAACUGCGUCUGAUACUGGAAGGCUUGAGUGCGGGAGAGGGAUGUGGAAUUCCAGGUGUAGCGGUGAAAUGCGUAGAUAUCUGGAGGAACACCGGUGGCGAAGGCGGCAUCCUGGACCGACACUGACGCUGAGGCGCGAAAGCCAGGGGAGCAAACGGG